UCUGUGACUUUUUAUCAAACGUCAAAACGUUCGCUUAGUAAGGGAGCUUGUAUGAAAUACACAGAUGUGACAUCAUAAGUAUUUGACAUAAUUUGGCCAUGGAUGUUUUUCUG